rnacentral:lncRNA from 1 species
UAAGGCCCAUCAUAGACGAAAUUGAAAAGGCAAAUGAAGAAUCAGAGGGUGGUUUACUGGGUUUGCCAGAGACGGAAACUGAAUUAGAUGAUGUACGUGUCUCAGUGUGAUCUAUUUCAACAAAAUUUGACUUUUUUGUCUGAAAAUAAUAACAUAGGGAGGUGCUACAGAAUUGUCAAUGGUUAUUAGGUCUGUUUUUAAAGCAAGUCUCGAGCCAUUAUAAAUUUUCCUUAAAUUGACAUUAUGUUUAAAGUGUUGGCAUCUGAACAAAAAGGUAAUAAACUGACCAAAAAUUAAUAUAUUUAUACAAAUAAAUUUACUAAAGAAUUUUAUUAAAUUAGGUUGUUUGAUUCACGAUUAGUUUACCGUGAAUAUACGAUGCUAUUAAAUAUUACUUUAGCAAAUUAAAGAAUAUUCGACGACACUUUUUGAUAGAACUCUUUAUUGAUUGCUAUACGUCUUUACAGAUCAAAGUUUUGUUCGCUACUACCUACUAAAAUUACAAAAAGCCCUCGCCCAGAAAUCCCAUGUGGUGGGGAAAGCAAAAAUGUCUUUAUCUCUUCUACAAAAUUUCACUUUUGGAAAAAACGUAAUUAACAAAUCGUCAUCAUUGUCCUUCCAAGAAGCAGCAACAUAGCUUGCCUUGCACAAACUUUCCAAAUACCUAACUUUAUAAAGAGAAUCAGGAAUACAAUUGACAAAUAUUACCCAGAACUAUGGGUAAGAAUGGAUGUAUUUUAAUCUAUUAAGUGAUUUCUAAAAAAUAAUUUACCCAAGCUUUAGGAAUGUUCUGAUAUGCAUCUACAU